rnacentral:rRNA from 1 species
GACGAACGCUGGCGGCGUGCUUAACACAUGCAAGUCGAACGGAAAGGCCCUGCUUUUGUGGGGUGCUCGAGUGGCGAACGGGUGAGUAACACGUGAGUAACCUGCCCUUGACUUUGGGAUAACUUCAGGAAACUGGGGCUAAUACCGGAUAGGAGCUCCUGCUGCAUGGUGGGGGUUGGAAAGAUUCGGCGGUUGGGGAUGGGCUCGCGGCUUAUCAGCUUGUUGGUGGGGUAGUGGCUUACCAAGGGUUUGACGGGUAGCCGGCCUGAGAGGGGGACCGGCCACAAUGGGACUGAGAGAGGGCGCAGACUCCUACGGGAGGCAACAGGGGGGAAUAUUGCACAAUGGGCGGAAGCCUGAUACAGCAACGCCGCGUGCGGGAUGACGGCCUUCGGGUUGUAAACCGCUUUGGACUGUGACGAAGCGUGAGUGACGGUAAUGGGUAAAGAAGCACCGGCUAACUACGUG